UCUCUACUGGGCCAUAUUCGUCAUUUUCUUAAUACUAGGCCCAUUUCAAUCCAUUGAAUCUUGAUUGAUGUCGACGGAGAUUGGAAUUUGAGUUUAGAAAGAUCUGAGCAUGCACAUCACAAAAAAUCUGAUAUCAAUGGCGGCAGAAGGAGAAGGUGAAGAGUUUGUAAAUAGAAUCAGUCGGCUAAAGAGUGGGAAGAGCCCCAGAAGAACUUAACAUUCACAUCCACCUCAGUAAACUCGAUCAGAUGGGUUGAAAGUAUCUACAACUUAGAAGUUGUCUUCAACAAGGAGCUCCUCUUUUUACAUGUACAUAUGGGUGAGGUGUUGAUGGUUCAAAUAGCUUCCCUCAUUUCUAAGGCCCUUCCAAAAGUUAUACACCUCUUCCAGUAGGUGCAAUUGUAAAAGCAGAGAAAUUGCCUCUUGCUGAUGAUGGUCGAUUCAGAUUCAGUUGUUGUUUUGCUGAUUUAAAUUGGUACUGGUGGUGAGUAGUUGUUUUGCAUGGCUAUGUGGAGAACGUGCAACGGGAAAUAAAUUGAAUUGAUUUAUUUAUUAUGUAUGUUAAACGAUGAUUAUGUUAUGUUGAUCUAUUUCUGUGCUUAACAAUACAUGAUGGAGAACCACCCACAAGGUGUUUCCUUGUGAAAAUCAAUUUACAUAUGAAUAAAUCAUUCCGCAUUUAUUA